AUGUCCCUCAUCACCGAUGACCCCGACCACUCCCCGCGGGACUGCGCCACCAAGCGCCGCCACCACCACCACCACCACCACCACUCCGGUGGCUGGCGCCAGCGACGGCUGCUGAUCGCGGCGGCGUCGGGCGCGGCGUCGCUGCUGGCACUGUGUAUCAUCCUCUGGCUCACCCUCCGCCCCUCAGCUCCGCGCUUCACGCUGCUGGCCGCCACCGCAACCUCCUCCAACGCAAGCACCGGAGGCGGCCUCGUGCGCCUCGACGCGGCCCUCAUGGCGCACAACCCCAACGCGCGAGCCGCCGCGCUCUACGACGGCCUCCGGGCGCGCGCCUCCUACGCGGGCUUCCAGCUCGCCACCGCCGGGCCCCUCCCGCCGUUCCAGCAGGCCCAGGGCGAAGCCGUGCUCUCCGCCUCCCUCUCCUCGGCGGCGGAGGCGACCGCGGAGGAAGCAGCCGAUGGACGGUCACCGGCGUUGCUGAGGCUGCGCAUAGAGGGGCGGCUCCGGUGGAAGGUGGCGGCCUGGGUGUCCGGCGAGUGUGCCCUCGCCGCCGAGUGCGUCGCCGUCGCGGCGCCGUCGCAGCUCAGGGCCGUCGUCGUGCAGGGCACCGAGUGCGCCGUCACCAUCGAAUGA
rnacentral:rRNA from 1 species